AUACGUAGGGUGCGAGCGUUGUCCGGAAUUACUGGGCGUAAAGAGCUCGUAGGUGGUUUGUCGCGUCGUCUGUGAAAUUCCGGGGCUUAACUCCGGGCGUGCAGGCGAUACGGGCAUAACUUGAGUACUGUAGGGGAGACUGGAAUUCCUGGUGUAGCGGUGAAAUGCGCAGAUAUCAGGAGGAACACCGGUGGCGAAGGCGGGUCUCUGGGCAGUAACUGACGCUGAGGAGCGAAAGCAUGGGUAGCGAACAGGAUUAGAUACCCUGGUAGUCCAUGCCGUAAACGGUGGGCGCUAGGUGUAGGGGUCUUCCACGACUUCUGUGCCGAAGCUAACGCAUUAAGCGCCCCGCCUGGGGAGUACGGCCGCAAGGCUAAAACUCAAAUGAAUUGACGGGG
rnacentral:rRNA from 1 species